ensembl:rRNA 5S_rRNA 5S ribosomal RNA
GUCUACAGCCAUACCACCCUGAACAUGUCCGAUCUCAUCUGAUCUUAGAAGCUAAGCAGGGUCAGGCCUGGUUAGUACUUGGAUGGGAGGAAUAGAGAGAGCCGGGGGCAGUGGGUG